UCCCUGGUGGUCCAGUAAUUAAGACUCUGCACUUCGAAUGCAAACAGCAUAGGCUUGAUCCCUGGUCAGGGAA
rnacentral:tRNA from 1 species